rnacentral:tRNA from 1 species
UUCCUGGUGGUCCAGGGGCUAAGACUCUGUACUCCCAGUUCAGAGGACCUGGGUUCAAUCCCUGGUCAGGAAA